rnacentral:lncRNA from 1 species
CUACAAUUUAAUAACAAAAAGGCCAAGAAGCUCUGAGAGGAGCUAAGAAUAAAGAAGUACAUCUCAACACAUCAACAACCUCAAGUGAAUGGCCAGGUUGAAGUCAUAAACAAGUCAUCAAAUAUAUCCUAAAAUGUAAACUUGAUGCCCUCAAAGGAACAUAGGUUCACAAGCUCCUUCAAGUGCUAUAAGCUAUUCGCACAACAAGUUGAAUUGCUACUAGAGGAAUACCUUUCUCUAUGGUCUAUGGGGCCGAAGCUAUGAGUUUGGUCGAGGUAGGAUUAUCUUUAUUUUAUUGUUUACAUUUCAGUGAAAUCGCCAACGACGAAUUGAUGAGGUAUGAGCUUGGCUUUUUGAAGAAAUGAAGGAUAAUUCAAAACUGAAGCUCGCCUUUCCAAAGGAAAGAUGACUAGCUACUACAAUCCUAAAGUGCAGAAAGAUCAUUUUGCAUAGAGGUAUUUUUCUCCUUGAAAGAACUAGAUGUAGGAACCUUUGGCCCCGAUUGCGAACGAACAUGAGAUACACAAAAUUCAAAAACUAGAUGAAAAUGCACAAUCGCAUCCAUGGAAUGUAGAAUAUACACAAGUAGUAUCAACGCGAAAACCUCAUUCUUUUAGCUAAAUUACCUUUCCCAACUUAUGUAAACUUUCAAUAAAGACUAUUUUAAUACAAGUAUCUUCACCUUCUUAUUUAUCUUUCAUGAAUGAACCAUCUACCAUAAAACAAGCCCUUGGCAUAGAUGAAAAAGCCACUAUCCUAGGAAGUCUAAUUGCUUGAAAAGGUAAGGUGCAAAAUAUCCUAAAGAGGACUCACCUUAAAAGAUAUAAAGCACCACCUAUAAUAGAAAAAGCUCUUGACAUGGACGAACUAUCUACCAAUAAGAAAGUCUACCACUUCAACAAGAGAGACAUGAAACAUUCUAGAAAACCCCACUUCAGACCCUAUAGAGCAUGUGUCAACUUAAUGCUCCAAAUGGAGUAGCUUCUUCCCAAAUGGUACUUAUGUUUUUCGAGGCCUAAUACUUAAUCAAGUCUAUAUAAGGCAAUCCAAAAUAAG